GACGAACGCUGGCGGCGUGCUUAACACAUGCAAGUCGAACGGAAAGGCCCUGCUUUUGUGGGGUGCUCGAGUGGCGAACGGGUGAGUAACACGUGAGUAACCUGCCCUUGACUUUGGGAUAACUUCAGGAAACUGGGGCUAAUACCGGAUAGGAGCUCCUGCUGCAUGGUGGGGGUUGGAAAGUUUCGGCGGUUGGGGAUGGACUCGCGGCUUAUCAGCUUGUUGGUGGGGUAGUGGCUUACCAAGGCUUUGACGGGUAGCCGGCCUGAGAGGGUGACCGGCCACAUUGGGACUGAGAUACGGCCCACACUCCUACGGGAGGCAGCAGUGGGGAAUAUUGCACAAUGGGCGGAAGCCUGAUGCAGCAACGCCGCGUGCGGGAUGACGGCCUUCGGGUUGUAAACCGCUUUCGCCUGUGACGAAGCGUGAGUGACGGUAAUGGGUAAAGAAGCACCGGCUAGCUACGUG
rnacentral:rRNA from 1 species